rnacentral:lncRNA from 1 species
GAGCAAGCAGGGUUAAUGGGACUGACACAAGCAGUGAUUGGAAAAUACGGUCAGCCAGCAUGGUGCAAUUUGAAAAAUGUUCCUCUAGAGGGCACUGUUGUCAUGAGACAUUAAAUCCAUUUGAUGAGAAAGGAGAGAGGAGUGCCUGUUGGGAAGGGAGAAAAAGGAAUUUGGAUUUUGGGAGAGGUGGAACUGCUCAUCUUUUGGAAUUGUUCAUUCUUUCUGUUGCAGAGAUCUUGUGAUUUCACUAGUGGGGGCUUAGGCACUAGAAAUGAUGAUUUGGAAGACCAUCGAAGAUGUGUUAGCAGAUGA